rnacentral:piRNA from 1 species
AUUUUCCUGAGGCUCUGCUG